CGAUGAGUGCUAAGUGUUGGAGGGUUUCCGCCCUUCAGUGCUGCAGCAAACGCAUUAAGCACUCCGCCUGGGGAGUACGACCGCAAGGUUGAAACUCAAAGGAAUUGACGGGGGCCCGCACAAGCGGUGGAGCAUGUGGUUUAAUUCGAAGCAACGCGAAGAACCUUACCAGGUCUUGACAUCCUUUGACCACUCUAGAGAUAGAGCUUUCCCUUCGGGGACAAAGUGACAGGUGGUGCAUGGUUGUCGUCAGCUCGUGUCGUGAGAUGUUGGGUUAAGUCCCGCAACGAGCGCAACCCUUAUUGUUAGUUGCCAUCAUUUAGUUGGGCACUCUAGCGAGACUGCCGGUGACAAACCGGAGGAAGGUGGGGAUGACGUCAAAUCAUCAUGCCCCUUAUGACCUGGGCUACACACGUGCUACAAUGGGAAGUACAACGAGUCGCUAGACCGCGAGGUCAUGCAAAUCUCUUAAAGCUUCUCUCAGUUCGGAUUGCAGGCUGCAACUCGCCUGC
rnacentral:rRNA from 1 species